rnacentral:rRNA from 1 species
CCUACGGGAGUCAGCAGUGAGGAAUAUUGGUCAAUGGACGAGAGUCUUAACCAGCCAAGUAGCGUGAAGGAUGACUGCCCUAUGGGUUGUAAACUUCUUUUAUAUGGGAAUAAAAUGUUCCACGUGUGGGAUUUUGUAUGUACCAUAUGAAUAAGGAUCGGCUAAUACCGUGCCAGCAGCAGCGGUAAUACGGAGGAUCCGAGCGUUAUCCGGAUUUCUUGGGUUUAAAGGGAGCGUAGGUGGAUUGUUAAGUCAGUUGGGAAAGUUUGAGGCUCAACCGUAAAAUUGCAGUUGAAACUGGCAGUCUUGAGUACAGUAGAGGUGGGCGGAAUUCGUGGUGUAGCGGUGAAAUGCUUAGAUAUCACGAAGAACUCCGAUUGCGAAGGCAGCUCACUGGACUGCAACUGACACUGAGGCUCGAAAGUGUGGGUAUCAAACAGGAUUAGAUACCCGAGUAGUC